CAGGGAGACAACAAAAUGUAAAUAUUAAUUUUGUCACCUUAGGUCGAUCGGUAUCUCAGAUUCUUAUUUUUUAAGAAUUUCAGUUUCUAAGUUUUUUCUAGGUCACACCCAUCACUUUUUCCUGGGCCAUUAGCUCAGGUGGUUAGAGCGCACCCCUGAUAAGGGUGAGGUCCCUGGUUCAAGUCCAGGAUGGCCCAUAUCUCUAUGUUGGGGGUAUAGCUCAGUUGGUAGAGCGCCUGCUUUGCAAGCAGGAUGUCAGCGGUUCGAGUCCGCUUACCUCCACUGAAUACCACCUCUUACAUAUAUUUAAAGAGGGAAAUUGUUUUGAGUCGUGUCCUAUUUUGCUCUGAGCGAAUCUAGCUUCCUAUUUUAUUAAAUAAAUAAGAUGCUGGACUCAUUGAAUUUUUUUCAUUGUUUUCAGAGAACCUUGACAACUGCAUAGAUUAUUUUUGAAGACAAUAAGCAUCUUUAAUGAUGCAGAUUUAUUAUUUGUGCGAAUGCAUUAAAUAACAAUUCUAUUAAGCUGAUGCUUCAAUUAUUGAAGUUAUU
rnacentral:tRNA from 1 species